UACGAAGGGGGCUAGCGUUGCUCGGAAUCACUGGGCGUAAAGCGUGCGUAGUCGGUUAUCUAAGUCGGAUGUGAAAUCCCCGGGCUUAACCUGGGAAUGGCGAUGGAGACUGCAAGGCUAGAGUUUGGCAGAGGGGGGUAGAAUUCCACGUGUAGCAGUGAAAUGCGUAGAGAUGUGGAGGAACACCGAUGGCGAAGGCAGCCCCCUGGGUCAAAACUGACGCUCAUGCACGAAAGCGUGGGGAGCAAACAGG
rnacentral:rRNA from 1 species